rnacentral:lncRNA from 1 species
UCAACAUGCACACCAUCCCAUCAUCAUCAUCAUGCACAUCAUCCCAUCAUCAUCAUCUCAUAUGCAACGGCUUAUGCUAUUGUCACUAGGGGGUGGGAGAUCACGAAGCAUCCCCCCCUUCACUCGGCAAGAGGUGCACUUCACUCCGGAUCACGAAGCAACGGAGCAGUCCCUUCCCUCCUCUUCCAAGCUUUCCCCCCCUUCACUCGGCAAGAGGUGCACUUCACUCCGGAUCACGAAGCAACGGAGCAGUCCCUUCCCUCCUCUUCCAAGCUUUCCCCCCCUUCACUCGGCAAGAGGUGCACUUCACUCCGGAUCACGAAGCAACGGAGCAGUCCCUUCCCUCCUCUUCCAAGCUCUUG